CGAUGACGUGUAUUUUGGGGGUCAGCAGAGGAGGAGGUGAAGCUGUGACAAUCAGAUCUCUGGCGCUGCAGGAGAAUAGAGUGAAGAUGUCAGCCUGGGAUUUGUCUGCUGUUAAGCAGGCAUGUCAGGAUUUUCCCAGUGAAGAUUGCCUUUCCGCAUGGAGCACUUCAUCCAUAAGGUCAGGGAAAGAAAGGUGAAAAUCUCUGCCGACUGUGUCUGGAUGAUACAAGUGGAUCCCCCCGACUGCUGUUACAUUGUUACCCUGGACAGGGAUUGUAUCGAUCCUUUUGUAGAGCAACAGCUGCCUAGCACAUCUGUAUGACAACAAAUGCAUUGACCUACCUACAUUUGGGAUUUGUAAUCAUAAUGCCUUUCUGCAAUGAAUUACAGUUUUC
rnacentral:lncRNA from 1 species